GGGCGAUUAGCUCAGCUGGGAGAGCGACUGGUUUACACCCAGUAGGUCGGCGGUUCGAUCCCGUCAUCGCCCACCA
rnacentral:tRNA from 1 species